CUACGGGGGGCUGCAGUGGGGAAUAUUGCACAAUGGGCGCAAGCCUGAUGCAGCCAUGCCGCGUGUAUGAAGAAGGCCUUCGGGUUGUAAAGUACUUUCAGCGAGGAGGAAGGCAUUGUGGUUAAUAACCACAGUGAUUGACGUUACUCGCAGAAGAAGCACCGGCUAACUCCGUGCCAGCAGCCGCGGUAAUACGGAGGGUGCAAGCGUUAAUCGGAAUUACUGGGCGUAAAGCGCACGCAGGCGGUCUGUCAAGUCGGAUGUGAAAUCCCCGGGCUCAACCUGGGAACUGCAUUCGAAACUGGCAGGCUAGAGUCUUGUAGAGGGGGGUAGAAUUCCAGGUGUAGCGGUGAAAUGCGUAGAGAUCUGGAGGAAUACCGGUGGCGAAGGCGGCCCCCUGGACAAAGACUGACGCUCAGGUGCGAAAGCGUGGGGAGCAAACAGGAUUAGAUACCCUAGUAGUC
rnacentral:rRNA from 1 species